AACGAACGCUGGCGGCAGGCCUAACACAUGCAAGUCGAGCGAAGCCUUCGGGCUUAGCGGCGGACGGGUGAGUAACGCGUGGGAACGUGCCCUUUGCUACGGAAUAGCCCCGGGAAACUGGGAGUAAUACCGUAUGUGCCCUUCGGGGGAAAGAUUUAUCGGCAAAGGAUCGGCCCGCGUUGGAUUAGGUAGUUGGUGGGGUAAUGGCCUACCAAGCCGACGAUCCAUAGCUGGUUUGAGAGGAUGAUCAGCCACACUGGGACUGAGACACGGCCCAGACGCCUACGGGAGGCAGCAGUGGGGAAUCUUAGACAAUGGGCGGAAGCCUGAUCUAGCCAUGCCGCGUGAUCGAUGAAGGCCUUAGGGUUGUAAAGAUCUUUCAGGUGGGAAGAUAAUGACUGUACCACCAGAAGAAGCCCCGGCUAACUCCGUGCCAGCAGCCGCCGUAACAC
rnacentral:rRNA from 1 species